CCGGUCUGCGACACUCAAACUGUGGGGGCACUUUCUGGUGUUCAGGAGGGAAGUGCCGCCAUGAUUUGAGUGUCACCGGUCGG
rnacentral:pre_miRNA from 12 species